UACGUAGGGGGCUAGCGUUGUCCGGAAUCAUUGGGCGUAAAGCGCGCGCAGGCGGCCUCGCGCGCCCGACGUGAAAGCCCCCGGCUUAACCGGGGAGGGUCGUUGGGGACGGCGGGGCUUGAGGGCGGGAGAGGUCGGUGGAAUUCCCGGUGUAGUGGUGAAAUGCGUAGAGAUCGGGAGGAACACCUGUGGCGAAGGCGGCCGACUGGGCCGACCCUGACGCUGAGGCGCGAAGGCGUGGGGAGCGAACGGG
rnacentral:rRNA from 1 species